AGCAUUUAGCAAUUUCCUGCACUUAUUUCCUGCCAUUGAACACAUCACCAAUACAUGACUCCAACCACAUGACUUUGCUCAGCCAAUCGGAUGGCAUGUAGGUCAUAGUAAGCCUGUCCCGGCUUCCUCCCGUCAGAUGCGUGGAGGCAAGCCAGGUGACAGAGCUGUUGCAGACGCUGAUUACUGUGAGCCAGAGCCAUAGUGUUGUUGUGCACUGAACAGAACGGAAUUGGCCAGGUGAACCUUUUUGGGUAUGAAAAGGAUGGCGAGCCAAUGAACGGCUAGGAGCAGGACUCAUUCUGCAUUGGAGCUUCCACUGGUUGGGUAGGAAGCUAUCAAAGACGACGCUCUGUCCCCAUUUUCCAAAUAC